AAGGACUUAAGUUAAACAAACUAAUAGCCUUCAAAGCUAAUUAUAUAAGAAAUAAUCUUUUAGACCUUA
rnacentral:tRNA from 1 species